GUGGGGAAUAUUCCGCAAUGGACGAAAGUCUGACGGAGCAACGCCGCGUGAGUGAUGAAGGUUUUCGGACUGUAAAGCUCUGUUGUUUAGGACGAAAGUGCCUGAUGCAAAUAGUUACAGGUAUUGACGGUACUGAACGAGGAAGCCACGGCUAACUACGUGCCAGCAGCCGCGGUAAUACGUAGGUGGCAAGCGUUGUCCGGAAUUAUUGGGCGUAAAGAGCAUGUAGGCGGGAAUCUAAGUCUGUUGUGAAAAUGCGGGGCUCAACCCCGUAUUGCGAUGGAAACUGGGUUUCUUGAGUGCAGGAGAGGAAAGGGGAAUUCCCAGUGUAGCGGUGAAAUGCGUAGAUAUUGGGAGUAACACCAGUGGCGAAGGCGCCUUUCUGGACUGUGUCUGACGCUGAGAUGCGAAAGCCAGGGUAGCGAACGGGAUUAGAAACCCUAGUAGUCC
rnacentral:rRNA from 1 species